rnacentral:misc_RNA from 1 species
ACUUUGAUACGUCUUCUGAGUGCCCAGUUGAAGCAUCUUUGCAAAGAUAUCCAGAAAUACGACUUCUGAGCUCGUCGUCUGAAAUCUUAGUCCUUGCAUACCCAAAAAUAUGAACUUCAUUUGAUUGCAGAAAACCCUGGCGGUAAAGAUUAAAGAGAGCAGGGAAAGUCUUCUUCUUGGCGAGAUCACCAGAGGCACCAAGCACAAUAAUGGAAAGGCACCCAGUUUCUGGCACAUUCUCGUAUUCUUUAGAAAAUGAAUCACUUCUAAAACUAGAUCUCUUCUCCAUUAACCACUGACCCGAACCCAUUUUCUACCUCGUUACAGAGUCUUUGAAUCAAAAUUUGGCUUCCAAACAAAGGUCCCCUGGGAGCUGGAGAGUCAGAGAGAGAUAUUUGAUGUCAAAUACAGAGGAAGAGAGCUACUUGAAUUCAAUGUUUUGAAAAGUGGUUCACAAUUUGCUCUGAUUUUUGUUGCGGUUGAAUUCCCCACCAAACUCUUCUUGUCUGGUAUGAAAUUUUGAGUUACAUCAUUACCAUCGCCAGCUGCCGAAGACUGUACUUUUUUCACACAAAACUCCCUGUGUUUCCUGUUUAUUUCAACUUGUGCUCAGCUCUGCAAAAGAGAAUUCAAUUGCAUCCCAUGAAUGAUUUUAC